rnacentral:lncRNA from 1 species
CAUGGUGUGCCCUCCUGAGUCACAACAGCUUGGCCACGGGACUUGCUUUGGCUAUUGGGAUGUUCAUGGAGCCAACAGAGGCUUGCAAGGGGCUUGUGUGUUAAGCUUUCAUCUCUGGAGCCCCUUCUUCUGCCAUGAGAAGGACAUACCUGGCUGGCCUGCUAGAGGAAAAGAGACUUGGGGAGUAGAGGUGAGUAAUUCUCAUUGUCUCAGUCAAGGUCAACCCGGAUCCUCCAGUAGCUAUCCCCAGACAAAUUAUUGAGUCCAGCAGGGUUCUAGGCAGUCCACAGAGCUGCCUAGCCACUGGACGCUUUGCUGACCAUCAUUGUGGUUUGAGGAAUGCUUGUAAUGCACAUUAUGUGGCAAUGGAUAACCUAUCCUCAAAGGACUUCCAAUCUGGUGAGAGACAAAAGUUUACACAUAACCAUAAUUACUACAACAACUACCACUGGUGGGUAACAUUUAUUCAAUGCUUAUUUAUUUUGCUCCAGGUCCUAUAUUCAAUGCUUCACUGUCAUUUAAUCUGUGCAAUAAUGCUUAUCCUCAGUUCACAGAUGAGGAAACUGAGUCUCAAAGAGAUGCAGUGACUUGCCCAAGGUCACACAGCUAAGCAAGGGGGAAGUUGUUAUUUUGAUCCAGGUCUGUUUGACUUCAAAGCCCAUGAGUGAGGCCAUUAUGCUUUCCUGCAAGUCUAAAUGUUUUAGUAGCUACAGGAGGAUCUCAAUGUAUUAUUUUUUUAAACAGGCAAAUCAGGUUGCUAGAAGGGGCAGCAUUUGAUCUGGGACUUAAAGUGGCUUUGGUCAGGAUUCCACGCAAUGAGGUGGGCAUGAAGGAGUGCUUAUGUGAAUAUUUUUAUUCUGCAAACAGAUCAAGGUAUUUGGCACCUGCUGGAAAGUUCUCCACAUCCAGUGAUUGGCUGCAUUUGGUGGACACAGGAACUCAUCACUAUAUGAACUUUAAAGGGAUACAGCUUGUGAAAAAUUCCUCUGAUAAAAGUCAAGGCUACUUCAAGGGCUGGGUACUGUGGAGAGAUGUACCUCUGUGCCCUUCCUUCAGGAAGUGGUCUGUCUACGGAUGUGAGGCUCCAGGUUAGUGUUGUAUUGGAUGGUUGUAUAACGUGCUGCUUCGGGGUCCAAAUAGCCACUCUUCCUCUCUUCCCUGCAUAGUUUCUACUCCCACCAGAGAUGGUUUUGAACGAGCACUCAUAUCUUGCCUGCUAGAACUGUGGAAUUUCAGACUUUCUAGAAAAAAACAAAGUAUUUAUUUCAGUAGCUCUUCUCAUUCCCUGACCAAUGAACCAACAUAGCCAUUCUGCUGCUGGUUCUGGAGACAAUUACCAUUAGCAGCAUCCAUGUUCUUGACAGCCUACUCCACUAUCACAGUAAGUUGAGACAAAACACAUCAGGAUGCUUUUGACUGCAAGCGGAAGAAACCUAACUUGAACUGGCGUCAGCAAAGAUGGAGAUGUCUUGAAGGUCCAAGGAACCAUGUUGGGUCCAGGACUUACGACUCAGCCUCAAUUCCCUGCUUCUACUUUCUACUGAUUUCUCUGUGUUGGCACCAUUCCCAGAGAGACUUUUCACCUCAUGAUAACAAGUACUGCUGGCACCCACAAGCUUCCAUCUGAUUUUCUCAGCAGCUCCCCAGAAAAACAGAAGAGCCUCUUUUCAAAGUCCCAGAACUGAAUUUCCGGGGUCCGGAGCAGCCAGGCUUGGCUCACGGGCCUAUCUCUGGACAAAUCACUAUAUUGAAAGUUGUAUUAAUUUCUUAUUGCUGCUGCAACAAAUCAUCAUGAACUUAGUGGUUUAAAACAAUACCAACUGAUUAUCUUAUAGUUCUGGAGGUCAGAAGUCUAAAAACAGGUUGGAAGGGCUAUGUGCCUUCUGGAGACUGAAGGAAAGAAUUCAUUCCCUUUCCUUUUCCAUUUUCUAGACACUACUUGCGUUCCUCAGCUCAAAGCCUUGUACCACUCCAACUUCUGUUUCCAUAGUCACAGCUUCUCUGACUCUGACCCUCCCCCACCCUUUUAUAAGAACAUUUUUAAAAAUUACAUUGCCCACCGCCCACCACCCCCAAUAAUCCAGGAUCAUUUCCCAUCUCAGUGUCUUUAAUCACACGCUCAAAAUCCCUUUUGCCGUGUUAGUUGACACAUUCACAGGUUCUGAGGAUUAGGACAUGGACAUCUUUGAGGGUACCAAUAUUCUUCCUACCUCAAAGAUGAUGUGGUGGUCUGAUUAGUUAGUCCAUAGUCACAAGCCUGGAACUGGAGCAUCCCCUGAAACCAUGUGGACAGACAUGGGGAAGGGUGGUUCCCCAGGGGAAGAUGUGGUCCAUUAUCAGACCUGGAGGGAUGGGAUGCUGGCAGGGCAACAACAGCAAAUGUCCACGGCAGAAAACACAUGAAAAAACUUCAGGACUCUCUUGAACAAUUUUUGUUCCUUUUGGGAUCACCUGAUUUCUUUUAGGCUUUGAGCACAUUUUAUUGACAGCACUAAAGUUCAGAAUGCAUUGUGAUCAUUUUAUUUCACUGGGAAUAUUAUACACAGUGUAUAUCAUUUGUAAAGCAAGGGAUUUGGAACCUGGCACUUCCUCCAGUGCAUUGUAGAAUGAACCACAUGCCAAUGAGGGGAGAUACAGUUAAGAGUUGGACAACACGGAAAAGCGCUUAAUUACUUGGUUUCUGAGUAAGUCCAGAGUUCCUGCUGCUGCGGGUGGGUGGGGAGAAGAAAUUCCAGCAUGAUGGAAAACUACAUAAUGUAUUAUGUUACUCUCCCUUAAAUCCCUUAAAUUAAAGGAAAAACAAUCUUCAAAGAAUCAUAAAGCACAUAGAGAGACAACUGGAGGGGAUGCUUAUCUGAGAUAAAUUGCAAUAUUCUUAACGGUUGGGUUUCGAAUCAAAAUGUAAGUGGUAAGGUCUCAAAGUAAUAGUCACACAUCUGCUGACUUGGAAAAGUUUGAGGGAAAAUAAACACAAUGACCAAGCCGUGCA